rnacentral:rRNA from 1 species
UACGAAGGAUUCGAGCGUUAUCCGGAUUUAUUGGGUUUAAAGGGUGCGUAGGCGGACUGAUAAGUCAGUGGUGAAAGCCUGUUGCUUAAACAACAGAAACUGCCAUUGAUACUGCCAGUCUUGAGUACAGUUGAGGUAGGCGGAAUGUGUCAUGUAGUGGUGAAAUACUUAGAUAUGACACAGAACACCGAUUGCGAAGGCAGCUUGCUAAACUGUAACUGGACGCUGAAGGCA